UACGUAGGGGGCAAGCGUUGUCCGGAAUCAUUGGGCGUAAAGAGCGUGUAGGCGGCUUGGCAAGUCUGGUGUGAAAUCUUGCGGCUCAACCGCAAGCGGUCACUGGAAACUGCCUCGCUAGAGUCCGGAAGAGGAGAGCGGAAUUCCUGGUGUAGCGGUGGAAUGCGCAGAUAUCAGGAAGAACACCAAUGGCGAAGGCAGCUCUCUGGUACGUGACUGACGCUGAGACGCGAAAGCGUGGGGAGCGAACAGG
rnacentral:rRNA from 1 species